rnacentral:lncRNA from 1 species
ACUAUCAAAUCGAUUAUCAUCCACCUUAAUGGGAGGCCAUGACUUUGUUAUCUCCAUAACAUUAUCAUUUUAAGGACCUAAUAAUUUAGAAGAUUUAGUUAAUUAUUUUAGAAAAGAGAAGAAAUUAAUUAGCAGUCAAAAAUCCUUCCACUGACUUCACCAAGUCAUAAAGAAGACUAAAGACAGGCUGGUUCAAGGGCACCUAGAUCAGUCAUACUAAUCAACCUUAAUGGCAUGGGUCAACUUGAAUCACUAAGUAAUCUAAUCAAAAUUCUAAUUAAUAUAUAAUUCACCAAGUUGGUUAGGUAAGUG